rfam:Citrus sinensis cultivar Ridge Pineapple sweet orange scaffold00038_contig_91, whole genome shotgun sequence.
AUGCCAUGAUGAGAACCUUCUGAGCAAUUCUUUAAAUCUUUCCCAAGCCUCAUACAAACUCUCAUCUUCAAGUUGAUGGAAGAAAGUGAUCUCAUUCCGUAAUUUU